UACGAAGGGGGCUAGCGUUGUUCGGAAUUACUGGGCGUAAAGCGCACGUAGGCGGAUAUUUAAGUCAGGGGUGAAAUCCCAGAGCUCAACUCUGGAACUGCCUUUGAUACUGGGUAUCUUGAGUAUGGAAGAGGUAAGUGGAAUUCCGAGUGUAGAGGUGAAAUUCGUAGAUAUUCGGAGGAACACCAGUGGCGAAGGCGGCUCACUGGCCCGAUACUGACGCUGAGGCACGAAAGCGUGGGGAGCAAACAGG
rnacentral:rRNA from 1 species